rnacentral:rRNA from 1 species
GACGAACGCUGGCGGCGUGCUUAACACAUGCAAGUCGAACGGAAAGGCCCUGCUUUUGUGGGGUGCUCGAGUGGCGAACGGGUGAGUAACACGUGAGUAACCUGCCCUUGACUUUGGGAUAACUUCAGGAAACUGGGGCUAAUACCGGAUAGGAGCUCCUGCUGCAUGGUGGGGGUUGGAAAGUUUCGGCGGUUGGGGAUGGACUCGCGGCUUAUCAGCUUGUUGGUGGGGUAGUGGCUUACCAAGGCUUUGACGGGUAGCCGGCCUAAGAGGGUGACCGGCCACAUUGGGACUGAGAUACGGCCCAGACUCCUACGGGAGGCAGCAGUGGGGAAUAUUGCACAAUGGGCGGAAGCCUGAUGCAGCAACGCCGCGUGCGGGAUGACGGCCUUCGGGUUGUAAACCGCUUUCGCCUGUGACGAAGCGCGAGUGACGGUAAUGGGUAAAGAAGCACCGGCUAACUACGUG